rnacentral:rRNA from 1 species
UUGACCUCGGAUCAGGUAGGGAUACCCGCUGAACUUAAGCAUAUCAAUAAGCGGAGGAAAAGAAACCAACCGGGAUUGCCUCAGUAACGGCGAGUGAAGCGGCAAGAGCUCAAAUUUGAAAGCUGGCUCCUUCGGAGUCCGCAUUGUAAUUUGCAGAGGAUGCUUUGGGUGCGGCCCCCGUCUAAGUGCCCUGGAACGGGCCGUCAGAGAGGGUGAGAAUCCCGUCUUGGGCGGGGUGUCCGUGCCCGUGUAAAGCUCCUUCGACGAGUCGAGUUGUUUGGGAAUGCAGCUCUAAAUGGGUGGUAAAUUUCAUCUAAAGCUAAAUACUGGCCGGAGACCGAUAGCGCACAAGUAGAGUGAUCGAAAGAUGAAAAGCACUUUGAAAAGAGAGUUAAACAGCACGUGAAAUUGUUGAAAGGGAAGCGCUUGCGACCAGACUCGCCCGCGGGGUUCAGCCGGCAUUCGUGCCGGUGUACUUCCCCGUGGGCGGGCCAGCGUCGGUUUGGGCGGCCGGUCAAAGGCCCCUGGAAUGUAGUACCCUCCGGGGUACCUUAUAGCCAGGGGUGCAAUGCGGCCAGCCUGGACCGAGGAACGCGCUUCGGCACGGACGCUGGCAUAAUGGUCGUAAAC